rnacentral:lncRNA from 1 species
AGCCUUGGUACCCCACCAGCUCCUUAGACAGGUUAGUUCUGUCCAUGUCCUACUUCCUUAACUAGUUCCUUUUUUGACCCAGUUCCCCAAACCUUGGUCAUUGAGACUUUAUUUCCUGAGCCAUAUUGAGGAAAGACAGGUGAGAAAGAAAACCUCAUCCCCAACCUUUCUUUUGACCUGUCUUGAGAAACCUUUAAGGUUUCACAGGAAUAGAACAUCUACUAAUUAUAUUUUUGAUCGUUAUGUAAAGAAAUAAACUUCAUUGUGUCCUAAUAAAACUGCAUUCACAGGCACUAAAGUUUGCACUUCAGGUAAAGUUAAACAUGUAAAGAAAAAUAUUAUUUUUCUUCAAUCAUUUCCAUACUGUAAAACCCUUCUCAACUCAGUGGUCACAUGGAAGCAGAUUUAUUUCAUGCGUGGGCUAUAAAUUGCUGACUCUGUAUUGUGUGCAAUAGCUGAUAAGAUUCUUGUUCCUCAAAGUUAGUGAUAGCUCCCUACAAGUUAUCCCCUGUGGGGAAAAAUGGGAUGUUACUUUAAAAACAAAAUGG